UUACAGCCAAAAAAUGCAUUC
rnacentral:piRNA from 1 species